AUGUGCCCACUACGACAGGCGACAACCGCACCUAGUUUAGGGAGAGAUUCCUUGGCAGAUGCUGCCGCCGCUCUGACUUCGCUUCUGGUCUUAUCCUUCCUCCUUGCUGCUCCUCCCCCUCCAAGCCCAUCAUUUCAUCUCCAUCGCGACGCCGUCUAUCACCACCAUAGUCGUGCCGCGGCUCGAUCUGCUGCUCCUGAGCGCAGCCACCUCGUCCCCGACGCCGAGCUCCUUCUCCCUGCCUUCUUUUCCCCGUCAUCUCUGUGUUCUCUUCUUCUCUUUUUCUCCUGUUUACUCACAUCUCCCUCUAUCUCUCUUGCUCUCUGUUACAGAGGCCGCCAUGGACGCCCGAGGUCCUCCGCUCCGAGUCUCCGACCCACACCCCGGCGUCCCUGCCGACGUCGUCGCCUAGGAAGACCACCAUGCCCGCUGCAGGAGCUUCGAGCCGACCCCGCAGCAUGUAGACCGCCGCCACCCGUCCGCCGUCGGGAAUCACCAGAUCCCCCCGUAUCCGACCUGCCUCGCCAUCCUUCUCCCGUUCCCGACGUCUCCUCAGCGCCAGAAUCUCAGGCGAGCGACACCACAAGACCCUGCCUCCUCUGCCCCGGAGGCCGCCAUGGAGGUCAUCGCCUCUCCGUCUCGAUCCGUCCACCGUCGGAUCCUUGCUGGUGUUCUCCAGGGACCCGCCAUGGAGGUUGCCGCCCCUCCCGUCUCGAUCCUUCCGCACCCGGAUCCACGGCAGAGCAGCCGAGAUCCGUCGCCUGUUCUGCGACGCCUUGGCCCGCCAAGGCAAGCGCAGAGGCUGACAAGGCGCACAGGAAGGCCAAUGGCCUCGCCAAGCAGCGGGAGGACUUGCGGGCUAGGGUCGCCAGCCGCAAGCUCGUGCGAGCUCGCCCCCAUGCUGGCCAAGGCCACCUUCGGCGACCUCCUGUCCGCUGUGCACUAACGCCCGCCACGACGCCAGGGUCUUUUUUGCAAAAAUGA
rnacentral:rRNA from 1 species